CCCUUAGAUGUUCUGGGCCGCACGCGCGCUACACUGAUGCAUUCAACGAGCACCCGCUGGGCCGAGAGGUCCGGCUAAUCUUUGAACGUGCAUCGUGCUGGGGAUAGAUGAUUGCAAUUAUUCAUCCUCAACGAGGAAUUCCUAGUAAACGCAAGUCAUCAGCUUGCAUUGAUUACGUCCCUGCCCUUUGUACACACCGCCCGUCGCACCUACCGAUUGAAUGGUCCGGUGAAAUUCUCGGACGCGGACUAGCGAUGUUAAUUCGGAGCUUGACUGUGAAAGUUAAUUAAACCUUACCAUUUAGAGGAAGGUGAAGUCGUAACA
rnacentral:rRNA from 1 species